GACGAACGCUGGCGGCGUGCUUAACACAUGCAAGUCGAACGGAAAGGCCCUGCUUUUGUGGGGUGCUCGAGUGGCGAACGGGUGAGUAACACGUGAGUAACCUGCCCUUGACUUUGGGAUAACUUCAGGAAACUGGGGCUAAUACCGGAUAGGAGCUCCUGCUGCAUGGUGGGGGUUGGAAAGUUUCGGCGGUUGGGGAUGGACUCGCGGCUUAUCAGCUUGUUGGUGGGGUAGUGGCUUACCAAGGCUUUGACGGGUAGCCGGCCUGAGAGGGUGACCGGCCACAUUGGGACUGAGAUACGGCCCAGACUCCUACGGGAGGCAGCAGUGGGGAAUAUUGCACAAUGGGCGGAAGCCUGAUGCAGCAACGCCGCGUGCGGGAUGACGGCCUUCGGGUUGUAAACCGCUUUCGCCUGUGACGAAGCGUGAGUGACGGUAAUGGGUAAAGAAGCACCGGCUAACUACGUGCCAGCAGCCGCGGUGAUACGUAGGGUGCGAGCGUUGUCCGGAUUUAUUGGGCGUAAAGGGCUCGUAGGUGGUUGAUCGCGUCGGAAGUGUAAUCUUGGGGCUUAACCCUGAGCGUGCUUUCGAUACGGGUUGACUUGAGGAAGGUAGGGGAGAAUGGAAUUCCUGGUGGAGCGGUGGAAUGCGCAGAUAUCAGGAGGAACACCAGUGGCGAAGGCGGUUCUCUGGGCCUUUCCUGACGCUGAGGAGCGAAAGCGUGGGGAGCGAACAGGCUUAGAUACCCUGGUAGUCCACGCUGUAAACGGUGGGUACUAGGUGUGGGGUCCAUUCCACGGGUUCCGUGCCGUAGCUAACGCUUUAAGUACCCCGCCUGGGGAGUACGGCCGCAAGGCUAAAACUCGAAGGAAUUGACGGGGCCCCGCACAAGCGGCGGAGCAUGCGGAUUAAUUCGAUGCAACGCGUAGACCCUUACCUGGGUUUGACAUGGAUCGGGAGCGCUCAGAGAUGGGUGUGCCUCUUUUGGGGUCGGUUCACAGGUGGUGCAUGGCUGUCGUCAGCUCGUGUCGUGAGAUGUUGGGUUAAGUCCCGCAACGAGCGCAACCCUUGUUCACUGUUGCCAGCACGUUAUGGUGGGGACUCAGUGGAGACCGCCGGGGUCAACUCGGAGGAAGGUGGGGAUGACGUCAAGUCAUCAUGCCCCUUAUGUCCAGGGCUUCACGCAUGCUACAAUGGCUGGUACAGAGAGUGGCGAGCCUGUGAGGGUGAGCGAAUCUCGGAAAGCCGGUCUCAGUUCGGAUUGGGGUCUGCAACUCGACCUCAUGAAGUCGGAGUCGCUAGUAAUCGCAGAUCAGCAACGCUGCGGUGAAUACGUUCCCGGG
rnacentral:rRNA from 1 species